rnacentral:piRNA from 1 species
UUAUGUCUGUGAGAAAUGUACAAAGGC